CCUACGGGAGGCUGCAGUGGGGAAUAUUGGACAAUGGGGGCAACCCUUAUCCAGCCAUGCCGCGUGUGUGAAGAAGGCCCUCGGGUUGUAAAGCACUUUCAGUGAGGAAGAACGCCUGGUGGUUAAUACCCAUCAGGAAAGACAUCACUCACAGAAGAAGCACCGGCUAACUCCGUACCAGCAGCCGCGGUAAUACGGAGGGUGCGAGCGUUAAUCGGAAUUACUGGGCGUAAAGCGCGCGUAGGUGGCUUGAUAAGCCGGUUGUGAAAGCCCCGGGCUCAACCUGGGAACGGCAUCCGGAACUGUCAAGCUAGAGUGCAGGAGAGGAAGGUAGAAUUCCCGGUGUAGCGGUGAAAUGCGUAGAGAUCGGGAGGAAUACCAGUGGCGAAGGCGGCCUUCUGGACUGACACUGACACUGAGGUGCGAAAGCGUGGGUAGCAAAGAGGAUUAGAUACCCCUGUAGUC
rnacentral:rRNA from 1 species